rnacentral:rRNA from 1 species
AUUGAACGCUGGCGGCAGGCCUGACACAUGCAAGUCGAGCGAGUGUCGGACGCGUGAGUAGUGUCUGGGCUACUGCCCGCUGGCGGGGGAUCACUACCGGAAACGCUAGCUAAUAACGCACACCAUCUGAUGUACCCAGAUGGUAUUAGCUAGUAGGUGGGGUAACGGCUCACCUGGGCGAAGAUCCCUAGCUGGUCUGUGAGGAUGACCAGACACACUGGAACUGAGACACGGUCCAGACUCGUAAGUGAGGCAGCAGUGGGGAAUAUUGCACAAUGGUCGCAAGCCUGAUGCAGCCAUGCCGGGUGUAUGAAGAAUGCCUGCGGGUUGUAAAGUACUUUCAGCGAGGAUGCUUUACCGGCAGAAGAAGCACCGGCAAACUCCGUGACAGCAGCCGCGGUAAUAC